CAGAGCAUUACUGAUUAUAACUCAGCUUGAACCUUUCUAUCGAUCGGCUUUCACCUCUUUCAACAGUUUGACUGUAACAGAAUUCAGCUCUGGAUCCAUCAUCAAUACUGUAAAUGUAGCAUUCAGCUCCCC